rnacentral:tRNA from 1 species
GGGAGCGUAGCUCAGCGGGAGAGUAUCGCGUUCGCAACGCGGUGGUCAAGAGGUCAAAACCUCCGUCUCCG